rnacentral:rRNA from 1 species
GAUUAACGCUGGCGGCGUGCAUAACACAUGCAAGUCGAACGAAGUGGCGGACGGGUGAGUAACGCGUGAGUAACCUGCCUUAGACAUGGGGCUAGCCUCUGGAAACGCAGAUUAAUACCCAAUGCUCUAAGUUGGACUUGCGUCUGAUUAGCUAGUUGGUGAGAUAAUAGCUCACCAAGGCAACGAUCAGUAGCCGGCUUGAGAGAGUGGACUGCCACAUUGGGACUGAGACACGGCCCAGACUCUACGAGAGGCAGCAGUGGGGAAUUUUGCACAAUGGGGGAAACACGGAUGCAGCGACGCCGCGUGAUUUAGAAGGCCUGCGGGUUGUAAAAAUCUUUUGUAUAGGAAGCGGUACUAGAAGAAUAAGGACCGGCUAAUUACGUGCCAGCAGCCGCGGUAAUAG